GUAAUUGAUCUGGUGUAUGCCUGUCCCGAGAGUAGUUUUCUGUCAACAACAGUGAAUUCUCUGCAUAAGUUUGCUCUUUCAGCCAGAGCUUCAGUUUGUCAAUCCAGAUCAGAAAUCAUGAAUCAAACUACAGACAUAAGGUAUGGACUCCUCACGGUUACAUCAAAAUUUUCAUACAUAAACAUGCCAUACCUGAUACUUCUUUUGCCCAUUAGAUCUCCUGGACAUCAUAUACCAAAUGGGUAUGGAUUUGCAGCCAGGAUAUAGCUGCACCCUCAGGAAAAACAACACUAAAUGGAAAUGGAACUCUAAGAGGCAGAAAAGGGAAAUGCCAAAAACCCACCGCAUACUCUGGUUCUGCAAAUGCUACAGGUAACGGGUAUAAUCAAUCAUACGAAGAAAAGAUGGUCACACAAUUUCAUAAUGAGCAGAGUUUGGCCCCUCCUCCUUUUUCCGGGCUUGAGACCGGCUAUGCAACAUGAAGCGUAACAUCAUCUUAGCAUAGGCGGAGUUACACCCCCACUCCACACACCCCCAUAUACACAUCAAACCCACCUAAACCAAAAACUAAAACCCAAAGAACAGGACACACACAAACACACGAAGGCACAAUCUCCAAUACCAAGACCCA
rnacentral:lncRNA from 1 species